CCUACGGGUGGCAGCAGUGGGGAAUAUUGGGCAAUGGAGGAAACUCUGACCCAGCAACGCCGCGUGAAUGAUGAAGGUCUUCGGAUUGUAAAGUUCUUUUCUAAGGGAAGAAGAAAGUGACGGUACCUUAGGAAUAAGCCUCGGCUAACUACGUGCCAGCAGCCGCGGUAAUACGGAGGAGGCAAGCGUUAACCGGAAUGACUGGGCGUAAAGGGUGCGUAGGUGGUUUGAUAAGUUGGUAGCGUAACUCCGAGGCUCAACCUCGGCACUACUACCAAAACUGUCGGACUUGAGUGCAGGAGGGGCAAGCGGAAUUCCUAGUGUAGCGGUGGAAUGCGUAGAUAUUAGGAGGAACACCAGUGGCGAAGGCGAGUUGCUGGACUGUAACUGACACUGAGGUACGAAAGCGUGGGGAGCAAACAGGAUUAGGUACCCCAGUAGUC
rnacentral:rRNA from 1 species